GACGUAGGAUGCAAGCGUUGUCCGGAUUUAUUGGGCGUAAAGAGCUCGUAGGUGGUUUGUCGCGUUGUUCGUGAAAUCUCACGGCUUAACUGUGAGCGUGCGGGCGAUACGGGCAGACUAGAGUACUGCAGGGGAGACUGGAAUUCCUGGUGUAGCGGUGGAAUGCGCAGAUAUCAGGAGGAACACCGGUGGCGAAGGCGGGUCUCUGGGCAGUAACUGACGCUGAGGAGCGAAAGCGUGGGGAGCGAACAGG
rnacentral:rRNA from 1 species